CUUUCCUCUUGCUCCGGUUUCCCUCCGGGACCCAUUUGGGUCUCUUCCAACUCGACAAGGACAGGCCGAGAUGGGCCAGGAAUUCCUUAGUGCUGCAGGCAGGCCUGGACCAGGAGACCCAAAGGCAUCCAGGGAAGGCAGGAAGGGGGAGAGGCCUUUCUUUCCCUCAGCCGCAGCCGCACUCUUUCCUGAGGGAUUUCCUCCCUGAAGGCCAGGCCUCGAGAGAGAGACCCAGGCCCUUCUUGCACAGGCUGCAUUCAUUCAGCUUCCCACCCAGUUUGAGCACGGAUUCUGUGUCUUGUGUUUUCAUCUCUGUUCUGUGUUAUUUUAAUAUGUAUUUUAUAUAUAUACAUUUUAAUAUGUAUAUCUAUGGAAAUAUUAUAAUGAUAUUGUCGAAAGCAUUCCUGGACAGAAUCUAUUUUCUGUGCUGUCUGGCCAUGUUCUGGUAGCAUUCUCUCCUGACAUUUGGCAUGCAUCUGUGGCAGGCAUCCUCAGAGGUGCUGAGGUCUCCCAACAGACAAGAGUUCUAUCUUCCAAUCUGGACCUUCCAGGGGUAUAUAAACCCCACUUGCCUAGUUUCCAAUAUACAGUAGAGUCUCACUUAUCCAACAUUCUGGAUUAGCCAAUGCAUUUUUGUAGUCAAUGUUUUCAAUACAUCGUGAUAUUUUGGUGCUAAAUUCGUAAAUACAGUAAUUACUACAUAACAUUACUGCCUAUUGAACUACUUUUUCUGUCAAAUUUGUUGUAUAGCAUAAUGUUUUGGUGCCUAAUUUGUAAAAUCAUAACCUAAUUUGAUGUUUAAUAGGCUUUUCCUUAAUCUCUCAUUAUCCAACAUACUCGCUUAUCCAACGUUCUGCCGGCCCAUUUACGUUGGAUAAGCGAGACUCUACUGUAUAUCUAUGGAAAUAUUAUAAUGAUGUUGUCGAAGGCAUUCCUGGACAGAAUCUAUUUUCUGUGCUGUCUGGCCAUGUUCUGGUAGCAUUCUCUCCUGACAUUUUGCCUGCAUCUGUAGCAGGCAUCCUCAGAGGUGCUGAGGUCUCCCAACAGACAAGAGUUCUAUCUUCCAGUCUGGACCUUCCAGAGGUAUAUAAACCUCACUUGCCUAGUUUCCAAUAUACCUCACAACCUCUAAGGAUGCCUGCCAUAGAUGUGGGCGAAACGUCAGGAGAGAAUGCUUCUGAAACAUGGCCAUACAGCCCAGAAAUAACACAACGACCCUGUGAUUCUGGCCAUGGAAGCCUUUGACAACACAUUGUGAGGCCUGUUGGAAAUGAGGCAAGUGGGGUUUAUAUACAGUAGAGUCUCACUUAUCCAACAUUCGCUUAUCCAAUGUUCUGGAUUAUCCAAGCCAUUUUUGUAGUCAAUGUUUUCAAUAAAUCGUGAUAUUUUGGUGCUAAAUUUGUAAAUACAGUAAUUACAACAUAACAUUACUGCGUAUUGAACUGCUUUUUCUGUCAAAUUUGUUGUAUAACAUGAUGUUUUGGUGCUUAAUUUGUAAAAUCAUAACCUAAUUUGGUGUUUAAUAGGCUUCUCCUUAAUCACUCCUUGUUAUUCAACAUAUUUGCUUAUCCAACCUUCUGCCGGCCCGUUUAUGUUGGAUAAGUGAGACUACUGUAUCUGUGGAAUAAUGCCCAGGGUGGGAGAAAUAAAUAAAAUCAAUCUUUAUUUGUAUCCCACUUUUCUCCCUAUACAGAACCCAAUGCAGCUCAUAACAUUAUGUAUAAUACAGUACAAUGUAUUAUACAUAUGUAAAACAAUAACCUAUACAAACAAAUUUACAAUAAGAAACAUAUUUGAAAUAAUUUAUCUAAUACAGUUAUUGCAGGCAACUCAACAAGAUAGAUGGUGAUUUUAGCUCAACUCAAUAAAAGUUAGCGUUUGUCAUUACAACUAAGUGUCUAAGUCAAAAGCUAGCACAAACAGGAGAUAGUCGUAGAUAGUCUAGGUCCAAGCUAUUUGGAGGCCAGAUCUAAGAGAGAGACCCAGGCCCUUCUGGAGUCUUCCUACAGAGGCUGUAUUCAUUCAGCUUCCCAUCUAGUUUUGAGCACGGAUUCUAAACUCCCGUGUCUUGUGUUUUCAUCUCUGUUCUGUGUAUUUUAAUAGUAUUUUAUAGAAAUAUGUUUCAAUAUGCAUCUUUUAUUAAUACAUAUAUCUGUGAAAUUAUUAUAAUGUUGUUGUCAAAGGCUUUCCUGGCCAGAAGCACUGAGUUGCUGUGAGUUUUGCAGGCUGCCUGGCCAUGUUCCGGUAGCAUUUUCUCCUGACAUUUCGCCUGCAUCUGUGGCAAACAUCCUCAAAGGUUGUGAGGUCUGUUGGGAAUGAGGCAAGUGGGGUUUCUCUAUCUGUGGAAUAAUGCCCAGGGUGGGAGAAAGAAUUAGAUCAAAUCAAUCUAUUUGUAUCCCGCUUUUCUCCCUAAACGCAACCCAAAGCGGCUCACAUUAUGAAAAAGGUAAUACAAAACCAUAUACAUAUGUAAAACAGUAACCUAUAAAAACAAAUCUACAAUAAGAAACGUAUUCAAAAUAGUUUAACACAGUUAUUGCAGGCAACUCAGCAAGACAGAUGAUAAAUUUAGUGCAACUCAAUAAAAGUUAGCCUUCCUGUCAUUACAGCUAAGUGUCUUAAUCAAAAACUAGUGCAAACAGGAAGGUCUUUAGCUGCUUUUAAAAAGAUGUCAGGGAAGGGGCUGUUUUGGAACUCCCUCCCCAAGAAGGCCACUGAGAAGGCCCUCUCUCUUGUUGCCACAACCACAUUUGUGAUGGUGGUAGCAAUAAGAGGAGGGCCAUGUUAGAAGAUCUUAAUAUUUGGGAAGGUUGGUAUGAGGAGAUGCAGUUAGGGUCAGAUAGGUAAGUGGGACCUUAAUUGUUUAGUGCAAUGGUUCUCAACCUGUGGAUCCCCAGAUGUUUUGGCCUUCAACUUUUAGAAAUCCUAACCGUUGGCAAAGUGGCUGGGAUUUCUGGGAGUUGUAGGCCAAAACACCUGGGACCCACAGGGUGAGAACCACUGGCUUAAGGCUUUAAAGGUCAAAACCAGCACCUUGAAUCAGGCCCGGAAAGGAACUGACAGCCAGUACAGGUGCUUUAGCAGAGAAGUAGUAUGCUCCCUGGGUCCAGCUCCUGUUAAUAACCUGGCUGCAGACCUCUGGACUAAUUGAAGUUUCCCGACACUCUUCAGGGGCAGCUCCAUGUAGAGCCCAUUACAGUAGUCUAAAUGGGAUCUAACCAAGGCAUGGACCACCAUGGCCAAGUCUGGCUUCUCAAUGUACAUUUGCAGCUGGCACACAAGUUUUAAUUGUACAAAGGCCCUCCUGGCCACCACCGACAUCUGGGUCUCUGGGCUUAGCAAUGAGUCCAGGGUGACACCCAGAUUGGGGAAAUGUGUCUUCAAGGAGAGUGUGACCCCUAUCCAGCACAGGUUGCCACCCUAUGCCCUGACCUGCCUUCUGACUGACUGUCUUGUCUGGAUUCAAUUACAGUUUGUCCUAUUCCAGUCCAGAACAGCUGACAGGUUCAGAGUCUGGGCUGCUUCCUUGGCUUCUGGUGGAAGUGAGUAAUAGAGUUGGUUGUCAUCUGCGUACAGAUGGCACCGAACCCCAAAACGGACUAUCUCUCCCAACAGCUUCAUGUAAUAAUAAUAAUACGAAUAACUUUAUUUUUGUAUCUCGUCUCCAUCUCCCGAAGGGACUCGGGGCGGCUCACAUGUAGAUGAUAAACAACAUGGGGGACAGAACUGAACCCUGCAGGCAUCCCCCAGCACCACCAUCUGGGUAUGACCUUCUAGGAAGGAGUGCAGCCACUGCCGAACAGUGCCUCCAAGUCCCAUCCCAGCCAGGUAACCCAGAAGGAUGCCAUGGUUGAUGGUAUCGAAGGCCACUGAGCCAUCCAAGAGAACCAACAGGGGCACAUUCCCCCUGUCAAGUUCUCUACGUAGAUCAUUGGCUUGGAGGACCUUCUUAUAGCAACACCAAGUGGCCAGCUACUAAUCAAGGUUCAUUUAAUAUAAUGCCAAGGUUUUUUUAAAACGUUGUGUUCUCAAACGCAUUACAACUUGUACCCUCAGUUCGCUUCUGACACAAGAAAUAAAAUAAAUCUACUAAGGUGACCAAAGCUGUCUCUGUUCCAUGGCCGGGCCUGAAACCAGACUGGAAUGGAUCCAAAUAAUCUGUUUCAUCCAAAUAUCCCUGGAGUUGUAGGGCCACCACCCACUCCAGAACCUUGCCCAAAAAGAGGAGAUUAGAGACUGAGUGAUAAUUACCUAUAUCCAAGGGAUCUAGUAAAAGAACCCUUGUCUGAAAGAACCAUUGUCUGUUUGAUGCAAUUGUGAAUGUUGCAGUUAGCCAAUUAUUAAUUAAAUAUUUAUAAUGUGUAUAAUUGCUGGUGUCUGUAAGCCACCUUGAGUCCCCCGCGGGGUGAGAAAGGCAGGAUAUAAAUGAAGUACAGUAGAGUCCCACUUAUCCAACAUAAACGGGCCGGCAGAAUGUUGGAUAAGCGAAUAUGUUGGAUAAUAAGGAGAGAUUAAGGAAAAGCCUAUUAAACAUCAAAUUAGGUUAUGAUUUUACAAAUUAAGCACCAAAACAUCAUGUUAUACAACAAAUUUGACAGAAAAAGUAGUUCAAUACGCAGUAAUGCUAUGUAGUAAUUACUGCAUUUACGAAUUUAGCACCAAGAUAUCACGAUGUAUUGAAAACAUUUACUACAAAAAUGCGUUGGAUAAUCCAGAAAGUUGGAUAAGCGAGUGUUGGAUAAGUGAGACUCUACUGUAAAUAAAUAAAUCAUGUGUUUUAAUUAUGCUGUAACCCACCUCAAGACACAAGGAGAGGCGAGUAAGAAAUUCAGUUAUUUCUUGUAGCAAAUAAGUUUUAUUUUGUUUUCAAAAAAAGAAAGAAAAAAGUAACUCAAACUGUAAAAGAUGAGGGAAGGAAGGGAAAGGUGGGGAACAUGACAGGCAAUAAUAUGUAAGUUAAGGAGCCAUGUUAAAUAGUUCUACACAUAAGUCUAUUGUAUCGUUGAAGACAGCUCCAUUUCAGUCUGGUUUCAGACCUGGCUAUGAAACAGAGGCAGCUUUGGUCACCUUGAUGGAUGACCUGUGUAGAGAUCAGGACAGGAAAGGGUGUCACUGUUGGAUCUCCUGGACUUCUCAGCAGCUUUUGAUCCCAUUGACCAUGGUAUCCUUCUGGAUCGUCUCGCUGGGAUGGGACUGGGAGGCCCUGUCUUACAGGAUUCUGUUUUGUCCUCAAUGCUGUUUAACAUAUUUAUGAAACUGCUGGGAGAGGUUUUGGAGUUUGGUGCCACCUGAAUGCAGGUGACACCCAGGUCUACUACUGCGUUCUACCUGAAGCCAAGGAAGCUGUCCUGACCCUAAACCAGUGCCUGCCAUCGGUCAUGGAUUGGAUGAGGGCAAACAAUUUGAAACUUAAUCCAGGCAAAACAGAGGUACUCCCAACUGACUAGGAGUUCCAACUGGUCAGUUGCAAGGCAGAGCAAUCAGGGAAUAGGGAUCCAGCCUGUGCUGGAUGGGGUAAUACUCCCCCCUGAAGACACAGGUCCGUUGUUUGGGGUCCUUCUGGACUCAGUGCUGAAUCUGGAAGCCCAGGUGUCGGUGGUGGCUGGGAGGGGCUUUGCACAAUUAAAACUUGUGCACCAACUGCGCCUGUACCUUGAGAAUGUCUAGCCCAAUGGUCUGCAAUUAUGGUACAGCACAGCACUUUUAUCGCAUUCCCUUGUUCCUUAGCUACAACUUGCACCAUCCCUUUCCUUCUUGCUUACAGCUGGCCAUGUUUCUACGACAGAUACUAUAGGUUAUUGGUGCUGUGCUGAGUUCAAAUUGUUGUUUUAUAUACUCGUGGUUUUAUUUUGUAUUGCACAGUACUGUGUUUAUUUUAUGCAUUGUUUUAGGUGCCUUGUGCCUUAUGUAAGCAGCCCUGAGUCCCUUUGGGGAGAUGGAGGCGGGGUACAAAAAUAAAAUUAUUAUUAUUAUAAGUCAGAGCUGGCCACAGUGGUACAUGCCUUAGUUACAUCCCGCCUGGCUGACUGUGACGCGCUAUAAGAGCUGCAACCAGGUUGCUCACUGGGGCUGGAUGCAGGGAGCAGGGAACCCUCCUGUUGCUGCAGCUCCAGUGGCUGCCAAUCUGUUUCUGAGCACAAUUCAAAGUGCUGGUUAUGACCUUUAAAGUCGUAGAAAGUCUAGGGCCAAGCUAUUUGGAGGCCAGACCUAGAGAGAGAGAUCCAGGCCUUUUUUUAGUUUUCUUGCAGUGGCUGCAUUCAGCUUCCCAUCCACUUUUGAGUGUGUGUCUUGUGUUCAGUCUCUGAUCUGUGUACAUCAGUGGGAGGGAACAACAGGAAAUGGGGAAAUGGUCCUCCUUCAACCCCCCCCCCCCUCAAUAAAAUGGACUAUGUUUCUCUGUCUUCACCUCGUUUUGGCCUUUGCCCGAAUAAUGGAACAGAAGCAUAAUAUGUAUUUUAUAGAAACACGUUUUAAUAUGCUUGAUUUAUAUACAUGUAUGUGUGUACGUGUGUGUGUGUGUGUAUGUAUGUGUGUAUAUGUGUGUAUAUAUUUAUAUGUCAUAUAACUCAUACAGUAGAGUCUCACUUAUCCAAGCCUCACUUAUCCAAGCCUUAAUUUGUAAAAUCAUAACCUGAUUUGAUGUUUAAUAGGCUUUUCCUUAAUCCCUCCUUAUUAUCCAAGAUAUUCGCUUAUCCAAGCUUCUGCCGGCCCGUUUAGCUUGGAUAAGUGAGACUCUAAUGUAUUAUAAAAAACCCACAAUAUAUAUAUGUGUGUGUGUGUGUGUGUGUGUAAUUUAUAUAUUGUUUAUGUGUUUUAUUAUGCUUAUCCUGCCUUGAGAUACAAGGAGAGACAGGUAAGAAAUAAAAUUAUUAUUAUUAUUGUAUUGUCAAGGCUUUGACAGCCAGAAUCACUGGAGUGUUGUGCCGUUUCCACGUUGUAUGGCCAACGUGUUCUAGCAGCAUUUUUUCCUGUUUCUGUUUCACCUGCAUCUGUGGCUGGUGUCUUCAGAUGAUCUGAUGGUGGUCAAACAAGUGGAGUGUAUGAUUUAUCUGUGGAAUAAUGUCCACCUUGGGAGGAAAGAACCAUUGUAUGUUUAAAGCAAAUGUUAGCCAACUUGAAUUAGCCUGGUCUUUAUUCCCUUUCCAUUUUUUGUUGCUUGAUAUCUAUCUAUGUGUGUGGGUUUUGUUAAUUUGAUUUGUGGAUGACUAGGCCACCUAAAAAUUGUAGUUUUCUUAGUUUUCUUUUUCCAUGGUAAACUGGAUGUUUGGAGGGAUGUUGUUGAUGUGGUCCAGGAACUUGUUUAGUUAUUCUUCUCCUACAUGGCUCUAAAUGGUGAAAGUGUCAUCCAUACAUUGGAACAAUAUAAUGGGCUUUUUUGGUGCUGUUUCCAGAGUUUGUGUGUUAAACUACUCCAUGUAAAAAUUAGCAAUGACCGGGCUAAGAGGGCUCCCCGUGACUACCCGAUCUUUCUGUUCAUAGAAUUCAUUGUCCCAUUGAAAGUAGAUUGUAGUGAGGCAAUGUCACUUGGGAAAUUCCGGUUAAUGAGUUCUAUGGUGUCUGCUAUGGGGACCUUGGUGAAUAAAGACACCACAUCAAAGAUAAUCAGUUUGGCAUUGGCAUUAAGUUUGAGAUUGCUGAUUUUUUCUAUGAAGUGGGCUGAAUCCUUAAUGUAGUGUGUAGUGAGCCCAAUAUGGGUUUCUAGUUGUACGACCAGAAAUUUUGCCAAAUUGUAUGCGGGGGACCCAAUGGUGCUCAAAAUGUGUCUGAGUAGAGUCCUUAUGGAUUUUUGGGAGCCCAUAAAGCCUAGGAGGGAGGGCUUCCAAUUUGCAUAGAUGUUUGUGUAUGUUAAGAUUAAUUGAGGAGUCCUUCAUCAAAAUGUUUGUUUUUCUGCUGAUUUUACUAUUUUAUUUAUUUAUUUUCUGUACCUAUAGCUCGCCCUUCUCACCCCCAAAGGGGGACUCAAGGCGGCUUACAAACUAAUUUUGUUAAUUGGGUCUUAAAGAUGCCAGCCACAGAUGCAGGCAAAAUGUUAGGAGAGAAUGCUGCUGGAACAUAGCCAUACAUCCUUGAACAAUAUAUGGAAUUAUUGUUUCAAUAUUGUUCGUUUUUCUAUGUUUGCACUUGUUCACAUUAUUUUCCUUUUAAUUUGCUGGAUUCAACCUUGAAAACUUCAUAAAGAUUAAUUAGAAAGUCAAAAUAAAGCCAAGGUGCCACUCUCUCAGUCUCCCAGGUGGAGAAGGUUGGCUUUUGGAUACCCAGCCUGUCUAUCUGUCUUUCUUCUUUCAUAGAAUCAUAGAGUUGGAAAAGACCUCAUGGGCCAUCCAGUCCAACCCCAUUCUGCAAAGAAGCAGGAAAUCGCAUUCAAAGCACCCCCGACAGAUGGCCAUCCAGCCUCUGCUUAAAAGCCUCCAAAGAAGGAACCUCCACCACACUCCAGGGCAGAGAGUUCCACUGCUGAAUAGCUCUCACAGCGAGGAAGUUCUUCCUAAUGUUCAGAUGAAAUCUCCAUAUUAGCUGCUGGCUAAUAACCAGCUGAUCACAUGAAAGUUGAGAGAUGCCCUGGCCAGCUGACACAGGGAACCACCUCAAAGAUAUUUGAAAAUGGACUAAUAAGCUUUUGUACCGGUGUAUGCUGAUCACAUGAAAGUUCAUGGAGCUGGAGCUGAUAGAGGGAGCUCAUCCGCUCUCUCCCCGGGUGAGAUUCGAACCUGGCAGCUUUCAGGGAAAUGAACAUUCUAUGGAGCCACCUCUUGGGUGCAACAAGUAAACCAAUAACAUAAGAAUAAGAAGUCCUCUCAAGUUGAUGAUCUUGCUGAAUUCUUGAUGUAACUUACAGGUAAAAAAGGAAAAUGGAGAAUCAAGGAUCUGUCUUGACAUUCAACACCCAUUUCACUGUUGACAUGGAGAAAGCUUCUGAAUGCCUAGUGUGUGGAAAGAUUUUCACUCGGAGGACUCAUCUGCAGCGACAUGAGAGGACUCACACUGGGGAGAAACCCUAUGCAUGCCUGGAGUGUGGACAGAGAUUUUCUGAUAGUUCAAGUCUGCAUCGACAUCGAAGGACCCACACUGGGGAGAAACCCUAUCAAUGCCUGGAGUGUGGACAGAGCUUUAGUCAUAGCUGGAGUUUACAUUCACACCAAAGGACUCACACUGGGGAGAAACCCUAUAUAUGCCUGGAGUGUGGACAGAGCUUCACUGAGAGUGGACCUCUACGUUCACAUCAAAGGUCUCACACUGGGGAGAAACCCUAUACAUGCCUGGAGUGUGGACAGAGCUUUGCUCGGAGUGCAAAUCUACAUAGACAUCUAAGGACUCACACUGGAGAGAAACCCUAUACAUGCCUGGAAUGUGGAGAGAGAUUCACGGAGAGUGGAAAUCUCCGUUCACAUCAAAGGACUCACACUGGGGAGAAACCCUAUACAUGCAUGGAGUGUGGACAGAGCUUCACUAAUCAUUCGAGUCUACGUUCGCAUCAAAGGACCCACACUGGGGAGAAACCCUAUACAUGCCUGGAGUGUGGAAAAAGCUUCGCUCAGAGUGCGCAUCUACGUUCACAUCAAAGAACCCACACUGGAGAGAAACCCUAUACAUGCCUGGAGUGUGGAAAAAGCUUCGCUCAGAGUUCAGGCCUACGUUCACAUCAAAGGACUCACACUGAGGAGAAACCCUAUACAUGCCUGGAGUGUGGAAAGAGCUUUACUAAGAGUGCAAAUCUACAUACACAUCAAAGGACUCACACUGGGGAGAAACCCUAUACCUGCCAAGAAUGUGGACAGAGCUUCCCUUGUAGUUCAAAUUUACAUUCACAUCAAAGGAUUCACACUGGAGAGAAACCCUACAUGUGCCUUAAAUGUGGACAGACCUUCACUCGGAGUUCAAGUCUACAUAGACAUCAAAGGGCACACAGUGGUGAGAAACCCUAUACAUGCCUGGAAUGUGGACAGAGCUUCACUGAGAGUGGAAAUCUACGUUCUCAUGAAAGGAUCCACACUGGGGAGAAACCCUAUACAUGCUUGGAGUGUGGACAGAGCUACACUACGAGUGCAAAUCUACGUUCACAUCAAUGGAGCCACACUGGGGAGAGACCCUAUACAUGCCUGGAGUGUGGAAAGAGCUUUACUAAGCAUGCAAAUCUGCAUAAACAUCAAAGGAUUCACACUGGGGAGAAACCCUAUACAUGCCUGGAGUGUGGAAUGAGCUUCCCUUAUAGUUCAAAUUUACAUUCACAUCAAAGGAUUCACACUGGGGAGAAACCCUACAUGUGCCUUGAAUGUGGACAGAGCUUUACUUGGAGUGCAAAUUUACAUAGACAUCAAAGGACUCACCUUGGUGAGAAACCCUAUACAUGCCUGGAGUGUGGAAAGAGCUUCACUCAGAGUGCAAAUCUACAUUCGCAUCAAAGGACGCACACUGGGGAGAAACCCUAUACAUGCCUGGAGUGUGGAAUGAGCUUCAGUCACAAUGCAAAUCUUCAUAGACAUCAAAGGACUCACACUGGGGAGAAAUUGUAUAAAUGCCUGGAGUGUGGACAGAACUAGUCUUAUAGUUCUGGUCUUCAGAUCACACGAGUCACACUGGGGAGAAAUUGUAUAAAUGCCUGGAGUGUAAACAGACCUUCUUUCAUAGUGGAAGGCUACAAUCACAUCAAAGGACUCACUUUGGGGAGAAACCGUGUAUAUCUAUCUAUCUAUCUAUCUAUCUAUCUAUCUAUCUAUCUAUCUAUCUAUCUAUCUAUCUAGAGUGUAGAAAGAGUUUCACUCAGAGUGCAAAUUUACAUUUGCAUCAAAGGACUCCAAAACUGGGGAGAAACCCUAGGAACGCAUAGAGCAGUGGUUCUCAACCUGUGGGUCCCCAGAUGUUUUGGCCUUCAACUCCUAGAAAUCCAAACAGCUGGUAAACUGGCUGGGAUUUCUGGGAGUUGUAGGCCAAAACACCUGGGGAUCCAAAGGUUGAGAACCACUGACACAAACUGUAAAAGAGCUUAUCUGAGAGUUCAAAUCUAUAUACAAGAUAUAGAAUUCACAUUUGAGAGAACGGUGGUAUUUAACCCCAGAGAGACUCUUAAAGACAGCUUUCCAAACUUUUCAUGUUGGGUACACACUUUUUAGAAAUGCAUCCUUUCGUGACAUGGUAAUUCAGUUUAACUAGCAAACCAACCCUUAUAAGAUUUUCAAUAUAUAUAAUAAUAGAGAUAUUGAGAUGGUUUUCUUCUGGCUUUUUAAAUGUUACGUUUUAAUUAUUGACAGCUCCUAAUUUUUAAGUGUUGUCCUAAAUGCUUAGAAUCAUAGAAUAGUAGAGUUGGAAGAGACCUCAUGGGCCAUCCAGUCCAACCCCCUGCCAAGAAGCAGGAAAUCAAAGAUGAAGACGCAUUGGUGAGCACCCUUUGGGUUCGUUUGCUUAGCCAAUUACAGAUCCACCUAACCGUAGUUUUGUCUAGCCCACAUUUUACUAGUUUGUUUGCCAGAAGGUCGUGGGGGACUUUGUCGAAGGCCUUACUGAAAUCCAGGUACGCUACAUCCACGGCAUUCCCUGUAUCGACCCAACUCGUAACUCUAUCGAAAAAAGAGAUCAGAUUAGUCUGGCAUGACUUGUUUUUGGUAAAUCCAUGUUGACUAUUAGCCAUGACCGCAUUUGUUUCUAAGUAUUCGCAGACCACUUCCUUAAUGAUCUUUUCCAGAAUCUUGCCUGGUAUCGACAUGAGGCUAACCGGACAGUAAUUGUUCUUUUUUCCCUUCUUGAAGAUAGGGACCACAUUUGCCCUCCUCCAAUCUGCUGGGACUUCUCCCGUUCUCCAAGAACUCUCAAAGAUGGUUGCCAGUGGUUCUGAAAUAACUUCCGCUAGUUCCUUCAGUACUCUUGGAUGUAGUUGAUCUGGCCCUGGGGACUUGAAUUCAUUUAGAGCGGCCAGGUGUUCCUGGACAACUUGUUUCCCUAUUUGGGGUUGGAUUUCCCCAAAUCCUUCGUCCAUUUCAUGUUGCUGAGGUUGAAGAUGGCUUUUUUUUGUGAGAAGACCGAGCUUAAGAUGUAAUUUCAGCUAUGUGAUGUCUAAUUUGGUGUAUUAUCUCACUAUUAUUUUAUAUUCUUGUUCAAUAUAUUUUAUUUCAUUUAUGUCAUUAUUUUUUUGGUUGAACUUUAUGGCAUUGAAUGAUUGCCGCUAUUUGUUGUGAACCGCUCUGAGUUCCCACGGGAAGAUAGGGCGGGAGAUAAAUAAAGUUUAAUUAUUAUUAUAUUAUAGAUACGUUUUUUAUAUAACCUGUAUUGUAUAAACCCCAGUGAAGUAUAGACUGCCUUGGAAUCUCUAGUCUCUUUUGAAGGAGUUUGAGCUGAGGUUCGAUGGCUGUCUGUUGGGAGGGCUUUGACUGUGCCUGCUUCCUGGCUGAAGGGGGUUGGAUUGGAUGCCCUUUGAGGGUCUCUUCAAGUGCAGGUGGGCAGGGAACCUUUUUUUAUACGGCAUGCCUGUGUACUAUAUCCAACACACUAGUGUGUUUCGGCACACAGUUUGGAAAGCUCCCACACAAGAAAAAUGACUGGUCAGAAUCCACAAACGAUCAGAGAUGGACAAAAUUACUCUGCUGAUUAAAAAGAAAUCUUUGAGCAAGAAAGAUUUGGACUUAUUUAUCACUUUUUCACAACAACAACAACAACAACAGGGGCAAAUGUCAGUUGUUAGAUAUAUAAAUUAGAAGCGUGUUGCCAAAAGCAUAAGUGUACUUACAAAGGAUUAUCUAAGGAGGAAGUAGAAUAAUAAGGGAUGCAAAUCAUGUAGGUAUGAAGUUCUUAGAAUUAGACCCAGGUCUGUUUGUUUAUUUGUUAGUGUACUAUGUAACUGUAUAGGAGUGUUUUCUCGGUGUGGUCUUUUUCUGAUUUAUUUUUGUAGUUUGUUGUGGCCACUCAGUCAGCUAUACAAUUUUAGCAUUUUAUCUAUAUAAAUAACAAUUUAAUGUCCGUCUGUUAGGUACCUCAUACCUCCCAAACUACUCCAUCGAUUGCUACGCAAUUUGGACACAACAUAGCAUUCAAACUGCUGUGUGUUUUACACCUACUCUCACAGACCCGACACACCUGAGAAAGGUAAAAUCAUAUCUCUAAGCAAUGGCCUAUCAGUCUCCUCUUCCCUUAGCUACCAUCCUGUACCAUUUUAACAUUAUAUGUUAUAAAAUUGGUUUGUCUUUUUCUCAAUAAAAACAUGUGUUAAGGGUUGAAAUAUUACAGACUGGAAAGGCAGAUAGAGCUGGGAUUUAAUUCAUCACUUAAGAUCCUUUUGGAUAUUGUUCUCCUCCUAUAUGACAGUUGUAUGGCUCUGGGUUUAAUUUUGAUGCUUCAGUUAUUAAAUAUGUUUUGAUAAUG